AGUUUUCUAGGGUUACAACAGAGCUCCAUGGUUGGAUCAGCCCCCUCCCCUUAACUUCCUAUGCUUCUCUAUAAAGUACUUCCUCCAUCUUUGUCCUGGCAGGUUUGCGCACGGUUCACCACGUGUGUGGUGAAGACUGCAUUUCUACUCCCCGCCCCCCCCAAUAAAUCCUCUUUGGUGAGGCGAUACCUAGUCUACUUUUGUUUAUGGACAAAAUUUGGGGUCCUCUGGAAUCCAGAGAAGAAACCCUUAUAGCUCCCAGCUGGGGAGCAAACAGGUGCUGGUGCCCACAGACCUGUUUUGAGCUCACUGUCUUCUCUCCAGUUCGGGAGCUGGAAAGGUGGUCCCAGGACCAGGACUUCAACUGCGGGUGCUGGAAGCAGGGAGGAUUCUUAAGAAAGUAAUUAUACUGGUAAACCUUUAUGGACAGGUUCCCAGCAAGUGAAAGCUCUGGAAAAUCUGACUGGUUUCUGCAGGCUGUGGGAGGGAGGCUGAGCAGCAGAACUCAAAGAACCGAUCGAUAUGUCCACAGAAGAGCUGACGGGUUCAUGGACCGCUGGAUUACCUCAGAAGUCCUGGAAGGGUCCAUUUCAUCUUAGAUUCAUUCAAGAAAUAUGAGUUUGUUAUCUCCGUUGUGGGUUGAACUGUCACCUUAAAAGAUAUGUUGCAGUGCUACUCCCCCCAGCUGUGAAUGUAACUUUUUUCGGAAAUCGAGUCUUUACAGAUGUAAUCAAGUUGAGCUCAUACUAGAUUAGGGCGGACCCUAAUCCAAUAUGACUGCUGUCCUUCUAAGAAAGAAGAGACGCAGACUCGGACACAGAAGAAUGCCAUGUGAAGGCAGAGGCAGAGAUUGGAGUGAUGUGGGGCACGGGGGUAAUUUUAUGUCAGAUUUCCUAAGGACCUGAUGGGGCAGGUUGUGCCUUCGCCCCAUCAGGCAGAAUUUGGGCUGACAGUAGAUGGUGCUGUUUUGCCUAGUGGUCAGGAGAGCCCACAAGUUCUGUACCUGUAUGACCCUACCCUGUGAGGGUGGCCUGAGGAGGAGGUACUACCUAGACUAGCAUUGCUGCCUGCAAUCUAGACCAGCACAGUGGCUGAGCCUAACAUCCCUUCUAAGGAUGGAGAAAUCUGGGUAAAGAUAAAUGAAUGACAAAUAGAGAGAAGGAGAAACAAUAGCAGAGGGCAAAAAGGGAUGAAUAACUGGGUUAUGCAGCAAGGGAAAUCCAACAUUUUAUUUAUGCCUUGAGAGAGGCUCAGCCCAAGAUGGUACUGCCUCUUAGCUCCAUUAUACUAGAUGCCUGAAAGGGUGAAGCCAUGUGUUUGCUGAGACCACGCAUACUGUUGGAACAUGACAGAGUUGAAUGGCAGCCUGCAAACCUCAGGAACAUUGCCCUGAAAGAUAUUUACAUAUGAUGAUAGACUGGAUAAUUAUUAAUGACUGAAUGAGAUUCUAGUAAUGUGCCAGUA